UAUCAUCCAGUGUUAUCAAAGGCGAGCAAGGCGCCCAGGCGAGGCGCCAGGCGAGGCGAGGCGCCCCUCUGUCGCCUCGACUGGAACGCCUGGCUCGGCUUGGAGGAGGCGACGCCUCCGGCCGGAGAGGCGAGAGGCGACGCAGGCGAGAGGCGACGCCUCUUCACAGCAACGGUAAAGUGUGUUUUUUUUUUUUUUUUUUUUAAAAAAAAUUAAAAAGUCGAUAAAUUUAUCUGCGUACCGUCAGCCAUUCCACCAGCAGACAGCCUUUUCUUCUCAACCUCACGAAGACGCUCCUCAACGGCUCAACCUCGACGACAACAGAUUAUAAAUGGGUGAUAAGAAUAAUACAUCUGGAUCUUCUGCUAGUAGUAGAAGAACGGACCCAGGAUGGGCACAUGUAAUUCAAGUUAGUGAAAACAAUACCAAUGAUCUUCAAUGCAUGUACUGUAUGAAAGUUUACAAAGGAGGAAUUAAUAGAAUCAAGCAACAUCUUGCUGGAGGUUACAAAAAUGUAAUUCGGUGUCCAAAAUGUCCAGAAGAUGUAAGGAAUCAAAUGCAGGAAUUCAUUGCUAAAAAAAGAGAGCAAAAAUCAAUUAUGAAUAUGGAAAGACCACCUGAAUUUGAUGAUGUUGAAGCACUGGGAUUAGAUGAAAAUGAGGAAGAGGAAGAGUUGAUGCAAGAAA